AGUGACAAAGCAAAGAUCCUGACCUUCAUGGUAGAUAUUUUCUAAUGGGUGGAGAAAGAAUGAAUAGCACCACAAAAACUUUAGUAAACUAUAUAGUAUGUUAGAAGAUGAUAGCAUACAGAAAAAAAUAAAAUAGGAACAGUGGGAAGAAAUUCCACUUGGGAGAUAGGAACUCUCUUCUUGGAAGAGAGGUGAAAGUUUAAAUAAAGAGGUUAAGGAAAGCCUUACUGAGAAGGAGAUAAUCAAUAAGGACUUGACAGAAAUGAGGGAGAAAACCAUGGAAGUGCUUGGGGGAAGAGGCAGAGGGAGUAAUAAACACAAAGGUCCAAAUCAGAAGCAGACCUGGCAGGUUUGAGCAUCAGCAAGAGGAAGAGGCAGGAUGGUAAUGAGUGAGGGCAGAGCAGUAGCAAAUGAGGUCAAAGAAGUAAUGGAGAGCAAGACCUCAGAGAGCUUUGUUAACUCUCUUUAGGACUCCGGCUUUUACUCUGACUUAGGUGGGAGACCACUGGAGCGUUUGCAAAGUACAAUGUCAUAAUGCAAGUUACCUUUUUACAAGACCACUUGGGUGGUUACAUUAAGGAAUAAAAGACAAAUCGGGGAAGUUAUUUACAGUGUCUUUGUAAUAAUCCAUAUUAUAGAUGAUGCUGUCUUCGGCCAAGGUGGUAGAGUGAAAUGUGGUAAGAUGUUUUAAAACUCCAGAUGUACUUUCAAGGGUAAUCCGGUAGAAUUUCUGAUGAAUUGGCAUAAAUUAUCAGGGAAAGAAAGGAGUUAAGGAUAACUCCAACAGUCCAGGUUUUUUCCUGGAGCAUUUAUAAGGCUGGAGUUGUCCCACUGGCUAUUUGGUACCCAUCCUUCAUAUAUAAGAAUGUGUAAACGGAGGGGGGUAUGUAAAUAUUUUGUUCACCUUUUAAAAAAGUCAUUUCAUCUUUUAGGAGACAGCAAUUUAUACAAUUAACUGAGAGCUUAUUGCUCAACUGUGUUUUGUGUUAGUUUGACAUUAUUCCCUAAUUCUCAAAGUCUGCUUUUUUAAUCUUAAUUUUUAGAGUUAUUAUAGCAUGAUUGGAUUUUAUUUACUUAUUUUUUUAAUUAAAAAUUAUUAUUUUUUUUGCUUUUUAGGGCCACACCUGCAGCAUAUUGAAGUUCCCAGGCUAGGGGUCUGAUCAGAGCUGCAGCUGCUUGCCUAUGCCACAGCCACACCAUCUCUGAGCCACAUCUGCUACCUACACCACAGCUCAUGGCAACGUCAGAUCCUUAACCCACUGAGCAGGGCCAGAAUUCAAACCCACGUCCUCAGGUACACUAGCUGGGUUAGUCACCACUAAGCUACAAUGGGAACUCCUACUUAUUUUAAUUUUUUGCUUUCCUUUUUAACAUGUACCUCUCUCUCGUCUGUUACAUGGGUUUAAUAGCCUUUGAAUAGAAGGGUAUGUUCUUAGAACAUACUCUUCAGUCUCUAUUCCUGUGUGUGGGUGUGUAUUGUGUGUGAUUAAUCACAAUUGUAAUUAAAUAUUUAAUUAAAAUUUGCUUAUUUCCCUUUCUAGAAUAAUGUAUAGUUCAUGAGCAUAAGACAAUGCCUAUUUGUUCAUUGCUGUUUGCCCACAUUGAUUGCAUGGUCUUGUUUGUGAUUUUUUCUUAAUAAAUACUGAAAUUCUGAAUGCAUGUAUAAAUCAUAUAGGCAUUUUAGUGGAGUUGUAUUGUAUAAUGCUUGGGAAGAGUAGCCAGGCAACCUCACUUAGGUUAUAGUCUUAGAGAAUUUAACCCCAUUGUUAACGGGUACUGAUCAUUUGUGUUAAUUUGAGAUUUGAUUCUUCUGUGCCCUACUUUUCUAUCCCCAAGUUCUUAACUAGAGUUUGGCAGGAUGUGGCUUCACUUUUCUUCUUUUCUCAGGUCCUUACUCUAAUCCAAACAGCACCUUAGAGGGUAAUGUGAUGGUAGGGUCACCAAACAGAAAACGGGAUACCCAAUUAACUUUGAAUUUCAGGUAAACAAUGGAACCAGGCAUCAUGUAUCUUUAUUUGCUAAAUCUGGCAACUCUCUAUGGUUGGGACAUGUGUGCUUCUGUUCACAAUGGUUUUUGUCUCACAACUAAGAGUUAACAGAAAUACAAUUUCCCAACAAAAUCCUUCUUGUUUUGAGGACUCUACAAAACUUAGCGUGGCAGGAGUUCCCAUCGUGGCGCAGCAGAAUUGAAUCCGACUAGGAACCAUGAGGUUGCGGGUUCAAUCCCUGGCCUCACUCAGUGGGUUAAAGAUCUGGUGUUGCCAUGAGCUGUGGUGUAAGUCACAGACGUGGCUUGGAUCUGGCAUUGUUGUGACUAUGGCAUAGGUUGGCAGUUACAGCUCCGAUUCGACCUCUAGCCUGGGAACCUCCAUAUGCCAUGGGUGCAGCCCUAAAAAGCAAACAAACAAACAAAACAACAAAAAAAACCUUAGCAUGGCAACAUUUAGAAAAUUGAUCUCUGACUGUAAAGUGUGCCUCCACCCUCCUCUUGUUAAGUGGACAUGAAAAUCUGAGUUGGAUAACAAUGCAGUAGGGUCUUAUCUCUACUUUCUAGAUUUUCUUGGCUUCACGAGCCUUCCUAAGAGUAUGAAUUUUGCAGUGACUUUCCUGGAUAGGAACCCGUCUGAUAGGAUCCAUGACGCCAAGUGUUGCAGGGUUGUAGUGCCCUCCAGUGGAGGUCUGUUUUUUCACGAGGUCACUGAGGCCUAGGAUUGUCAUGAAAUAGCUCUAUUUCCCCCUCCAUGGUCCCCUAGGUCCUACAAGCUUAAGAUGACAGGAACUUAGAAAUCUAAAUUUCAUAGACAAAAGUAAUUCUUAACUUUGGUUCAAUAUUUUCAACUUCAUGUAACUUUUUUCUUUUUUUUUUACAAAACGAAAAUAACAAUAGCUUCUUUAUCAGCUUGUACAGUAGUUUAAAUGGUUACAGAGAAAAUGGACGUGUGAGCAUUUAGCACUUUUUUAGCUAAAUUUCAUAUAAUUUUGAAUCCAGUGAAUUUAUUGAAUGGCUACUUUGUGCUGAUUGAUUUUUUUAAAAAAAAUAUCAUUGGAGUAUCAUUGACUUACAAUGUUGUGUUAGUUUCCAGAGUAUAGCAAAGUGACUGAUUGAUGUUUUAAGAACCAUAAAUGCUAAGUAAUUAAACAAAAUAAAAUAAAUGAUGAGGGCAGGUUAAAUAGCAAAUAAGGUAAAAUAUUUUCUUAUAAAUUAGUUGAUGUAUCAUUUCAUUGCUGGAGUAAUGGUGCCCUCCUGUGGCUCUAGAUUGCUACUGCCAAAUCAUUUUUCGGUUUCUUCUGGAAUUCAAGGUGCUUGCUAUAGGAUGCCAUGCCAUGAUGUAUUUGUAUAUUAAUGUUAAAUUUUAACCUAGAAAUUCACAUUAAAUAAACUUUCAUCUCAUUCAGCAUUUGGUGAUAGAACGUCUGUGCGUGUUCUCUUUAUUCAUGGUCCUUAUAUUGUAUAAGGCCGCUGGGACCCCUGAACUGGUGGUACAAAACUGCAGCUUCCAGGAAUGAUUUAGGGCCAGGUCUUCAUGAGCCUUACAUUUGUCAACUGAUCAUUAUAAAAUCUGUUUUAUGUGUUUUCUGUUUAAAGAAACUUUAUUUAAUAUAUACUGUUGAUUCAUUGUCAUCGAAUUUGCACCCAGCAGCGCAAUAGCUCAGGACAAUAUUUAUCUAACGUGCAUGUUUUCUCCGUAAGGCACAUCACUGCCUUCUUGCACAUAGGGGCCAAGCCAGUACUACACGUAGGGAGCACUUUAAACAGUGAUCUCGGAGUUCCCGUCGUGGCGCAGUGGUUAUCGAAUCCGACUAGGAACCAUGAGGUUGCAGGUUCGGUCCCUGCCCUUGCUCAGUGGGUUAAGGAUCCGGCGUUACCCUGACCUGUGGUGUAGGUCGCAGACGCAGCUCGGAUCCCGCGUUGCUGUGGCCCUGGCGUAGGCCGGCAGCUACAGCUCCGAUUCGACCCCUUGCCUGGGAACCUCCAUAUGCCGCGAGAGCGGCCCAAGAAACGGCAAAAAGACAAAAAAACAAAACAAAACAAAAUUUUUGAUCUCACCAAUAAAAUAACACAAAAACAUAAAAAACGUUGCAUGACAAAAAGGACCAGGCAAAGGGCACAUGUUUAGUGUGUGAGCUGAAACAAGAAGGCAGAGCACUGUCUUCUUUGCCUUUAGCUGGGAACCACCAAGUCUGGUGACUUAAAUUUUUCAACGCUCUAUAUAUGUCCAUGAAUGAUUAUAAAAGCACCAUGAGUAUUGAUUUUGGUAUUACAAAUAAUUUUAGCAAUUAAUUCAUUGUGCAAACACAUGAUUUGUGAAUAAUGAAGAUCAUUUGUGUAAGUAAUAUUUUCUAAAAGAUUUGGGGAUUUGAGUUUACAGAAAAGCUCAAGACUAGGUUUUUUGUUUUUUUGUUUUGUUUUGUUUUGUUUUUUUAACCAAAUAAACCUAUGGAAACCAAAAGCUGUAAUCUUACAUCUUGUUUCUAGAAAUAAAGACGGAAGAGAACAAUAAAAGUAAUGAUUAUUAAAACUUUAAGCAUCAGUUCCCUCACUUAAGACUGAGCUAAUGACAAUACAUUUCUUAUUGGGCUUUUAUAGGAUUAAGUGAAGUAAUUUGUGUAAGGAUACAAUGUAUUUCAUUACUAUCAUUAUUACUGAGACCAAUAUCAUAGUCUUCUGUUUCUAUGGACUUUUUAACUUUCCAAGUACUUUCACAAAUCUUUUCAUGUUCAAUGCUUAUGCCAUUCCUAUGAUCAUAUAUACUUUACAAUAUGGAAAUUGAAUUACAUUUAUUAAGAAUGCUUAACUGGAUAAUGGCAGAAUUUUAACAAAAAGCUAAGUGUGUGGAUUCCAUGGUGAGCAUACUUCCAUUACUUGACAUGCUGAGAAGUCACGAUUGCAUCUAAAGAAUUGUCUUCACAACAAUUCUGUUUUUCUGUUUUCCUCUUGUCAUCAUAACUCAUGCUGCUAACUUCUGAUGCAAAGACUCCUUUGUAGAAGAUUUUUUUUUCCCCCCCAAACAGUUUUCACAUUCAAAAAGCAAGCCUCUGGUAUGAUGUCGCUGGUGUGGAAGUGAUAUUCCUAAAUCCCCAUAUAAGAAGGACCCAUUUUUCCUUUGUCUACAAAUUGUUUCAUAAAUUCAGGCAAGUUGUAAAGUGGGCGAACUUUUUCCUUUUUUGUCACCUUUCAGUCUUUUUCAUCUACCUUUCAAAAUGCCAGUUAUUUUGUGAUGCCUUGACUUCUCCUUUCAUGAUGGAAAUGGAUACCUUUCCAAAGACAUUUACUUCUUUCAUAAAAAUUAGUUUUCUAUCAGUUACGUUCCUGUCAUUGGGUCACUGAGAAUGUAGAAUGUCUACCAAGAGUUUCUCAGUUACACCACUGAGAUAAGUAGUUCCCUAGUGCAAUAAUAAUAACAACACAACAACAAUCGUACAUGGUUGUGUUGUGAAAUUUUACUUAGUUCAUGCCCAGUAAUAAUGCCUAAACUGGUUUCUCUUUGGGCCUGGUCUUACCUAGAGAGUUUUUCUAGUUUGGGGUUUAACAAAUUAACAAUCUCAACCAAAUUGAGGCUUUUCCUUAAAUUUAUAUUUUGAGGAGUUGGGAGAAGAUGGGUUAUCUCAUGGAAUAUUUUGUUCUUGUUCAUAGAGAAGGAGAAUUGUUUUAUAAUCAACUUGUGCUUCCAGACCCAACAGAAAUAGUGUCUGGAAUAUUUUUUUUCUAUUUGAUGUAAAUUUAUCAAUCAAUAAAACUGAAUCAUUUAGUCAGAGUUUGUGUACUUUUUUUUUUUUUGGUCCUGUUGGAUGGAUCAAUUUUUGACUGAAUUUACUAUGAGAGUUCAUGGGUUUGCUUGGUGAUUCAAAGUUCUUAGCCUUUUAACUUUUUGUCCUCUAUGACCUAACUUCAUUGACCUCCAGGCAGCAAUCUGAAACUCCAAGGCAUGUUUCAGCUUGAAGGAAAAGAUUAGAAUUCCCACUCCCAUCUCUCCCUGGCCUCCUACGUACCAAAGGCAGUUGCUUCCCUCUAGAGGUUAGGAAUCUUCCAAACAUAUUUUCAUCCACUGUCUCUAUUCUAAUUGAAGGCAAGUGCAGACCCAUAGGGCAGAUACUUAUUAAUGACUGCAAUUUUUGUCUCAAAGGGAAAGAAGAAAAAAAAAAAAA
rnacentral:lncRNA from 1 species